rnacentral:rRNA from 1 species
UAACUUAGGGAUAAGGGGUGCCACCAUCAGGUGGCCGCAGAGAAUAGGCCCAAGCGACUGUUUACCAAAAACAUAGGUUUCUGCUAAGUCGCAAGACGAUGUAUAGGAGCUGACGCCUGCCCGGUGCUGGAAGGUUAAGGGGAUCUGUUAGAGCAAUCGAAGCAGUGAACUUAAGCCCCAGUAAACGGCGGCCGUAACUAUAACGGUCCUAAGGUAGCGAAAUUCCUUGUCGGGUAAGUUCCGACCCGCACGAAAGGCGUAACGAUUUGGGCACUGUCUCAACAACAGACUCGGUGAAAUUGUAAUUCCGGUGAAGAUGCCGGAUACCUGCGACAGGACGGAAAGACCCCAUGGAGCUUUACUGUAGCUUGACAUUGGGUCUUGGUACUACAUGUACAGGAUAGGUGGGAGGCUUUGAAACCAGGACGCCAGUUUUGGCGGAGCCAUCCUUGGGAUACCACCCUUGUAGUACUGGGACUCUAACCAUAGGCCAUGAAUCUGGUCUUGGGACACUGUCAGGUGGGCAG